AUCCCCUCCUAGUUGGAAGGGGAUGGCUAGAGUGGGCUGGAGUUGGGCAUCUCCUUCCCCCCAGGUGAGCUAGGCUCUGAUAAAACCCCAGCAGGUUAGGCUCUGGUUAACUAGUUUCCCUGAGGCCAGGUGUUCUUAAGAAGGACAUAGUGCUCUGAUGUAUGUCAAAAAGGUUCUUUUCCGCUUCCCCUGCCAGAAGCAGGAGGGGGUUUUUCUCCAACAUAUUGUGGCAAUCUAGUUGAGCUCCUGGAAGUAAAUCUCACAAAACUGUGGUGCCUUGCAGUGACUGGGUCGCCCUCGGGUUUAUAGCUCUCAGUUUUGUCCACACUGAGCCUCCAUCAACUCAUCAAUCACAGCUCUGGCUUUCCUGCCCCGGCCCUGCUUCCUGUGGUGGUUUUAGCUGUGAAUCUCUGCUCUGGAAGAUUAGCUCUGAGCUAACAUCUACCACCAAUCCUCCUCUUCUUUUGCUGAGGAAGACUGGCCCUGAGCUAACAUCUGUGCCCAUCUUCCUCUACUUUAUAUGUGGGACACCUACCACGGCAUGGCUUGACAAGCGGUGCCAUGUCUGCACCCAGGAUCCAAACUGGCGAACCCCGGGCUGCCAAAGCAGAACGUGCACACUUAACCAUUGCGCCACCAGGUCGGCCCCCAUAGAUAUUUUGAAUAUUGAGGGUCAGAGAUCUGAAUCUAAAUCUUGUUUCAGAUUUCCACAAUUUCCUUUAAAGGAGUAGAGCUAAUCUCCUGAGAAACAACAUAGGGUGGCAAUUUCCACAAAAUCUGUAAUAAUCUGAUUUCCUCUUAGAGCAUUCCAAAUAUGUAUAGGAUGAUAUCUGGAAGGUACUAUAGACCAUGAACUCUACGCACAAUAAAUUAAAAGAAACACAAAGUCUACAUUUUGUUUUAGUUUGUCUUUAUGGUAAAUGGUGUGAAAUGAUU
rnacentral:lncRNA from 1 species